rnacentral:rRNA from 1 species
CCUACGUGGGGCUGCAGUGGGGAAUAUUGGACAAUGGGCGAAAGCCUGAUCCAGCCAUGCCGCGUGUGUGAAGAAGGCCUUCGGGUUGUAAAGCACUUUCAGUGGGGAAGAAAGCCUUGGGGCUAAUACCCUCGAGGAAGGACAUCACCCACAGAAGAAGCACCGGCUAACUCCGUGCCAGCAGCCGCGGUAAUACGGAGGGUGCGAGCGUUAAUCGGAAUUACUGGGCGUAAAGCGCGCGUAGGCGGUCUGAUAAGCCGGUUGUGAAAGCCCCGGGCUCAACCUGGGAACGGCAUCCGGAACUGUCAGGCUAGAGUGCAGGAGAGGAAGGUAGAAUUCCCGGUGUAGCGGUGAAAUGCGUAGAGAUCGGGAGGAAUACCAGUGGUGAAGGCGGCCUUCUGGACUGACACUGACGCUGAGGUGCGAAAGCGUGGGUAGCAAACAGGAUUAGAUACCCGUGUAGUC